rnacentral:rRNA from 1 species
GGAAGUAAAAGUCGUAACAAGGUUUCCGUAGGUGAACCUGCGGAAGGAUCAUUAAUGAAUUUGAAAGGAGUUGUUGCUGGCCUGAAACCCAGGCAUGUGCACGCUCCAAUCUCAUCCAUCUUACACCUGUGCACCCUUGCGUGGGUCCGACGGCUUUGCGGUCGAUGGGCUUGCGUUUUUCAUAAACUCUUAUGUAUGUAACAGAAUGUCAUAAUGCUAUAAACGCAUCUUAUACAACUUUCAACAACGGAUCUCUUGGCUCUCGCAUCGAUGAAGAACGCAGCGAAAUGCGAUAAGUAAUGUGAAUUGCAGAAUUCAGUGAAUCAUCGAAUCUUUGAACGCACCUUGCGCCCCCUGGUAUUCCGAGGGGCACGCCUGUUCGAGUGUCGUGAAAUUCUCAACUCAAUCCUCUUGUUAUGAGAGGGCUGGGCUUGGACUUGGAGGUCUUGCCGGUGCUCCCUCGGGAAGUCGGCUCCUCUUGAAUGCAUGAGUGGAUCCCUUUUGUAGGGUUUGCCCUUGGUGUGAUAAUUAUCUACGCCACGGGUAGCCUUGCGUUGGUCUGCUUCUAACCGUCUUUGGACAACUUUCAUCUCAACUUGACCUCGAAUCAGGCGGGACUACCCGCUGAACUUAAGCAUAUCAAUAAGCGGAGGA